CGGGAUGUAGCGCAGCCCGGUAGCGCGCUUCGUUCGGGACGAAGAGGCCGCUGGUUCGAGUCCAGUCAUCCCGA
rnacentral:tRNA from 1 species